rnacentral:lncRNA from 1 species
UAGCUGCAAGGUAUUAGAUAUACUUGAGCAAGUAGUUCCCAGGAUGUAAAUUAGGUCCCAAAAGCUGUUGUCCAAAUCGAAGAAACAGAGAAAUUAAUCUGGGAGACUAUCCAUCAUCACCGGUAAUAAAGAGAGCGACAUGGAUGAGACAGAUGAUAUGAUUAAGGGGCUGUGGUCGUUUUAAUUAACUUUUUGCUGUCCUGUAAUGAUCAAACUGGUCACCAGACCCGGUCAAUAAGCAUGUUAAUAUCAAACAAAUAAAACCAGGGAUGAUUAAAAACCUCCUGGUUUAUUAAAUUUGAAAUUCAAAUGAAAUUUAUGCUCAGAUGCAUACAGAAUGCUAAUAGAUUUUAGCUUUAUUGAUAGUGGAUCCCACAGGUUUGCAAGAAAACAGCACACUGUCUCCUCCUGUUCCUUUCCAGCACAUUAAACUUCUUAUUGGGUGGGGAAACUUUUAAUUGGUGCCCAGAAACCUGAACUUCCUGUAUUUCUUCCUCCUUUUCUUUAAAUAUCUCAACUAUUACAAAACAAUACUGCAAAGCAAUGAUCAAUGCCAAAACAGGUGAACUGAACUCUGCCUCAAUGGCUUAAACAGGCUGGCUGUAUCGAUCAUGGACUACAUGGACUCUUCCAUGGUACAGGAUUCAAGUGUGCUGGGUUACUUCUCCAAAGUGUGGUGGUGGUGGUGUGGUGGUGGGUGCCAUUAAGACUAGUUUCAUUUAAAGUAGAAGCAAAACUUUGUGUGUUUUAACUUUGCAGUUCGAUAGCCUCAUGAUACAAACACUAACCACUUCAUGGGGGAGGCGGAGAAAGGAAGCCAAGGGAGAAAGAAGCCCUUUGACAAACCCCUCACUUCUAUAAAUGGGCAAAAACACCUCCUCCAAGAGUGCACUUCGGAGUAAGGGGUGACCGGAUCAAAGUACUGACUGGAAGACGUAGGCACACACAUGUUCCGCAUCACCCCUCCUUUCAAUCUUUCUGUGUGGCUGAAACAUCAGAAAAUGGAAGGUGAGUAUCAAGAUUUUCUUCAAAACUAUACUGACAG